UGGACGACUCUCGGCAACGGAUAUCUCGGCUCUCGCAUCGAUGAAAAACGUAGCGAAAUGCGAUACCUGGUGUGAAUUGCAGAAUCCCGUGAACCAUCGAGUCUUUGAACGCAAGUUGCGCCCGAGGCCAUCCGGCUAAGGGCACGCCUGCCUGGGCGUCACGC
rnacentral:rRNA from 1 species